rnacentral:rRNA from 1 species
UACGUAGGGUGCAAGCGUUGUCCGGAAUUAUUGGGCGUAAAGAGCUCGUAGGCGGUCUGUCGCGUCGGCUGUGAAAACUCGGGGCUCAACCCCGAGCCUGCAGUCGAUACGGGCAGACUAGAGUGCUGUAGGGGAGACUGGAAUUCCUGGUGUAGCGGUGAAAUGCGCAGAUAUCAGGAGGAACGCCGGUGGCGAAGGCGGGUCUCUGGGCAGUAACUGACGCUGAGGAGCGAAAGCGUGGGGAGCGAACAGG